rnacentral:snRNA from 1 species
UCAGUUUCUUUGCAUGUUAACUGGUUCUCCCAGGUCGAGGCUUGUCCAUUGCACUUCGGGCGGGCUGAACCCUGCGAUCACCCAAAAUGUGGGUGACUCGGGUGCGUAAUUUUUGCGUAUGGGGGACUGCGUUCGCGCUAUCCCCUG